rnacentral:rRNA from 2 species
UACGUAGGGUGCGAGCGUUAAUCGGAAUUACUGGGCGUAAAGCGUGCGCAGGCGGUUUUGUAAGACAGUGGUGAAAUCCCCGGGCUCAACCUGGGAACUGCCAUUGUGACUGCAAGGCUGGAGUGCGGCAGAGGGGGAUGGAAUUCCGCGUGUAGCAGUGAAAUGCGUAGAUAUGCGGAGGAACACCGAUGGCGAAGGCAAUCCCCUGGGCCUGCACUGACGCUCAUGCACGAAAGCGUGGGGAGCAAACAGG